AUUUGUGUUGUCCUAUCUUGUGCACGGGAUUGAAGAGUUUAAGAAGAAACAACAAAGUGGGGUUUGCGGUUGCUUAUUGUUUUUAAUGUUAUUCUACCACGAGCAUAUAUCAUUUGAAGAGAAAUUUCUACCGCUAUAUACUCGACCUUCUCCUCGGAUUACUGCUUGGGGAGAUGAUGAAGUAUUGGACAGGAAACGAAGAUUGAAAAAACUUGGUGGAUAUGCAAAUGAGAAUCUCAAAAUAUGGGUGAUAGAAAAUGAGAUAAGGGAUUGCGUUGAUGGAAAUGCAACGACAAUGGCGAGUGAGAAUGAGGAG